UUGAUUCAUUUUAUGUGUCACUCAGAGAUUCACUAAAAAACAAGAGUUUGUGGUCUCCGGCGGGCGCCUGGUUCCGGGCGCUGGGCCCGGGGCGGUCCCGCCGAAGCAACGAUAGGUAUGUUCACAGGGGUUUGGGAGUUGUAAACUCGGUAAUGAUCCCUCCGCUGGUUCACCAACGGAGA
rnacentral:misc_RNA from 1 species